rnacentral:rRNA from 1 species
UUAAGUUAGAAAGGGCGCACGGUGGAUGCCUUGGCACUAGGAGCCGAUGAAGGACGGGACGAACACCGAUAUGCUUCGGGGAGCUGUAAGCAAGCUUUGAUCCGGAGAUUUCCGAAUGGGGAAACCCACCACUCGUAAUGGAGUGGUAUCCAUAUCUGAAUACAUAGGAUAUGAGAAGGCAGACCCGGGGAACUGAAACAUCUAAGUACCCGGAGGAAGAGAAAGCAAAUGCGAUUCCCUGAGUAGCGGCGAGCGAAACGGGACCAGCCCAAACCAAGAGGCUUGCCUCUUGGGGUUGUAGGACACUCUGUACGGAGUUACAAAGGAACGAGGUAGAUGAAGAGGUCUGGAAAGGCCCGCCAUAGGAGGUAACAGCCCUGUAGUCAAAACUUCGUUCUCUCCUGAGUGGAUCCUGAGUACGGCGGAACACGUGAAAUUCCGUCGGAAUCCGGGAGGACCAUCUCCCAAGGCUAAAUACUCCCUAGUGACCGAUAGUGAACCAGUACCGUGAGGGAAAGGUGAAAAGCACCCCGGAAGGGGAGUGAAAGAGAUCCUGAAACCGUGUGCCUACAAGUAGUCAGAGCCCGUUAAUGGGUGAUGGCGUGCCUUUUGUAGAAUGAACCGGCGAGUUACGAUCCCGUGCAAGGUUAAGCAGAAGAUGCGGAGCCGCAGCGAAAGCGAGUCUGAAUAGGGCGAAUUGAGUACGUGGUCGUAGACCCGAAACCAGGUGAUCUACCCAUGUCCAGGGUGAAGUUCAGGUAACACUGAAUGGAGGCCCGAACCCACGCACGUUGAAAAGUGCGGGGAUGAGGUGUGGGUAGGGGUGAAAUGCCAAUCGAACCUGGAGAUAGCUGGUUCUCUCCGAAAUAGCUUUAGGGCUAGCCUCAAGGUAAGAGUCUCGGAGGUAGAGCACUGAUUGGACUAGGGGCCCCUACCGGGUUACCGAAUUCAGUCAAACUCCGAAUGCCGAUGACUUAUCCUUGGGAGUCAGACUGCGAGUGAUAAGAUCCGUAGUCGAAAGGGAAACAGCCCAGACCGCCAGCUAAGGUCCCAAAGUAUACGUUAAGUGGAAAAGGAUGUGGAGUUGCUUAGACAACCAGGAUGUUGGCUUAGAAGCAGCCACCAUUUAAAGAGUGCGUAAUAGCUCACUGGUCGAGUGACUCUGCGCCGAAAAUGUACCGGGGCUAAACGUAUCACCGAAGCUGCGGACUGUUCUUCGAACAGUGGUAGGAGAGCGUUCUAAGGGCUGUGAAGCAAGACCGGAAGGACUUGUGGAGCGCUUAGAAGUGAGAAUGCCGGUAUGAGUAGCGAAAGAGGGGUGAGAAUCCCCUCCACCGAAUGCCUAAGGUUUCCUGAGGAAGGCUCGUCCGCUCAGGGUUAGUCGGGACCUAAGCCGAGGCCGAAAGGCGUAGGCGAUGGAUAACAGGUUGAUAUUCCUGUACCACCUCCUCACCAUUUGAGCAAUGGGGGGACGCAGGAGGAUAGGGUAAGCGCGGUAUUGGAUAUCCGCGUCCAAGCAGUUAGGCUGGGAAAUAGGCAAAUCCGUUUCCCGUGAAGGCUGAGCUGUGAUGGCGAGCGAAUUAUAGUAGCGAAGUUCCUGAUUCCACACUGCCAAGAAAAGCCUCUAGCGAGGUGAGAGGUGCCCGUACCGCAAACCGACACAGGUAGGCGAGGAGAGAAUCCUAAGGUGAUCGAGAGAACUCUCGUUAAGGAACUCGGCAAAAUGACCCCGUAACUUCGGGAGAAGGGGUGCUCUGUUAGGGUGCAAGCCCGAGAGAGCCGCAGUGAAUAGGCCCAGGCGACUGUUUAGCAAAAACACAGGUCUCUGCGAAGCCGUAAGGCGAAGUAUAGGGGCUGACGCCUGCCCGGUGCUGGAAGGUUAAGAGGAGCGCUUAGCGUAAGCGAAGGUGCGAAUUGAAGCCCCAGUAAACGGCGGCCGUAACUAUAACGGUCCUAAGGUAGCGAAAUUCCUUGUCGGGUAAGUUCCGACCCGCACGAAAGGCGCAACGAUCUGGGCACUGUCUCAACGAGAGACUCGGUGAAAUUAUAGUACCUGUGAAGAUGCAGGUUACCCGCGACAGGACGGAAAGACCCCGUGGAGCUUUACUGCAGCCUGAUAUUGAAUGUUGGUACAGCUUGUACAGGAUAGGUAGGAGCCUUGGAAACCGGAGCGCCAGCUUCGGUGGAGGCAUCGGUGGGAUACUACCCUGGCUGUAUUGACCUUCUAACCCGCCGCCCUUAUCGGGCGGGGAGACAGUGUCAGGUGGGCAGUUUGACUGGGGCGGUCGCCUCCUAAAAGGUAACGGAGGCGCCCAAAGGUUCCCUCAGAAUGGUUGGAAAUCAUUCGCAGAGUGUAAAGGCACAAGGGAGCUUGACUGCGAGACCUACAAGUCGAGCAGGGACGAAAGUCGGGCUUAGUGAUCCGGUGGUUCCGCAUGGAAGGGCCAUCGCUCAACGGAUAAAAGCUACCCCGGGGAUAACAGGCUUAUCUCCCCCAAGAGUCCACAUCGACGGGGAGGUUUGGCACCUCGAUGUCGGCUCAUCGCAUCCUGGGGCUGUAGUCGGUCCCAAGGGUUGGGCUGUUCGCCCAUUAAAGCGGUACGCGAGCUGGGUUCAGAACGUCGUGAGACAGUUCGGUCCCUAUCCGUCGCGGGCGCAGGAAAUUUGAGAGGAGCUGUCCUUAGUACGAGAGGACCGGGAUGGACGCACCGCUGGUGUACCAGUUGUUCUGCCAAGGGCAUCGCUGGGUAGCUAUGUGCGGACGGGAUAAGUGCUGAAAGCAUCUAAGCAUGAAGCCCCCCUCAAGAUGAGAUUUCCCAUUCCGCAAGGAAGUAAGAUCCCUGAAAGAUGAUCAGGUUGAUAGGUCUGAGGUGGAAGUGUGGCGACACAUGGAGCUGACAGAUACUAAUCGAUCGAGGACUUAACCAA